rnacentral:lncRNA from 1 species
GUUUUGGUGAUGGUGAUGUGUUUGUAGAUCUUACUUUACUAAACAUUCUUGCUGCUUACAAUUAUCUCUAUCUAUAACAGUACUUUCUGUGGAAAAUGUUAUUGAAAAUCUUCAAAUUUUAAGAAAAUUGUUCAAAAUUGACUAUGAAGGGCAAUAACUCCUUAGGGGGUCAAUUCACUAUUUUGGUCCUAGUGAAUUAUUUUUAGUUCUUACUUUGCUGUACAUUAUUGCUGUUUACAGUUUAUCUAUAUCUAUAAUAAUAUUCAAGAUAACAAAAAAACAGCCAAAUUUCCUCAAAAUUACCAAUUCAGGGGCAGCAACCUAACAACCGAUUAUCUGAUUCAUCUGAAAAUUCCAGGGCAGAUAGAUCGUGACCUGAUCAACAAUUUUACUUCCAGUCAGAUUUGCUCUUAAUGCUUUGGUUUUUGAGUUAUAAGCCAAAAACUGCAUUUUACCCCCAUGUUCUAUUUUUAGCCAUGGCGGCCAUCUUGGUUUGUUGGCCGAGUU